rnacentral:rRNA from 1 species
UACAGAGGGGGCAAGCGUUGUUCGGAAUUACUGGGCGUAAAGGGCGCGUAGGCGGCCGCCUAAGUCAGACGUGAAAUCCCUCGGCUCAACCGGGGAACUGCGUCUGAUACUGGGUGGCUUGAAUUCGGGAGAGGGAUGCGGAAUUCCAGGUGUAGCGGUGAAAUGCGUAGAUAUCUGGAGGAACACCGGUGGCGAAAGCGCUCUGCUGGACCUUAACUGACACUGAGGGACGAAAGCUAGGGGAGCGAAUGGG